AGAUCAAAAUUGUUUAAAUUCAUGAAAUUGAAUUGAAUCGAAAGUAAUCAACAUCAAAAUAUUAAAUGAAUUAAUAGACUAAUUUGGUAUAACAAAGCAUAGUAUCACAUUUUAGUACUUCAUUGUUUUUCAUGCACAGAGUCGAGGCAUUUAAGCCAGCUGGAGGGAUUGUUUCUGGACUCUUCUUCCCUGGAUGCAAACUUUCUUUAAAGCAUUGGAGUAAUGAUUUCUCUAAGGCCAUGUUUGAUAGGAAAGAAAUUCCAUGGAACUGUCCCCCGGGGCACAGCUCAACUGGUGGAUCAAUCAACAUUGGCUUGUGUCCAGCGGCAGGAUGGAGAGUUCAAUUCCUGGUGGGAACCUGCGGCCAAAAAUUUGGUAUAGAGCAAUCACUGUGGAGGAGAGUCUCUUGUGCGCAGAAGUGUACAAUCAAUGGAGGAAACCAGUGAUCCAGUUGAGGCAUAUCUCGCGAUUUACCCCCUCCAAGGUUCUAGGGGCAUGGGUCUUGGAGGUCUAGAAUUUAGUCUGGUGUAAACUGGGAUACCUAGAUAUAUAUAAAACAAUAAUAAAAAAAAAAAAAAAAAAUUCCAUGGAACUUGGAAAAUAUUUGAGCAUUUUCUACCUUUUUGAUGUUUGAUACCAAAAAAUUUCCCGUGGAAUUCCUUUUCUUGGUUUGGAUGCCACCUAGACAUUUUCUAGCUUUUUGAUGUCUACUGUAGCAAUUAUUAUUAUUAUUAUUUUUGGUAAUAGAAAUAAAUUCUAAAAAUUAUUGUAAAAUUUUUUUUCCCUUUAAUUGGCAAUUUUCAUGUAAAAUAAAGUUAAACGAAUAUUAAAAGAUGGAUGAUUUUCUUGAUUUUUUUUUUUGACAAUGGAAAUAAAUUUCAUCCCCAAUACCAGUAAAAUAUAUCUCUUUAAUUGAUAAUUUUCAUGUAAAACAAAGCCAAACAAACAGCAAUAAACACUUUUAUUUCAACAUUUUUCACGUGAAAAAUUAUACCAAUCAAAUACAAUAAUUUACAAUUCUCAGGAAAAUAAUUUCUAGACAAUUCAAUUCCUUGAAAUUCGUUUUCAAUUCAAUUCAAUCAUUGCAAUCAAACGGACCCUAAAUGUUUUGUCUUUUUCUAGGUCUCAACUUAAUAAACUUGAGGAACGGGAUUUGAAUAAAAAUGAGCAUGAAGGAAUACUUCCAUCGCGUCUAUUGAAAAGUUGAGAAACAUUCAAGAUCAAUAAGAAUUUAAACCUAAUAAUAGAAUACGAGCUGAAAAAUUACAAAAAUAAAAAAAUAAAAUGAAGGAUUUUUCAGCCUUAGCCCCAAAAAUUUUGCGGGUGCUUCUAACGUCUAAUCUCCCGUUGAGCAUCCAUUGUAAAUUGAUAAAGUUUGGUUGUACUAUAAAGCCAAAAAGGCAGUCACAAUACAAUAAGUUCGAGACAUUACAAGAUCAAGUUAUAGAGACUUAUCUUUAAAUGAAAAACUUCAUAUCGAAGCACUUUCCACCAAGAAAUCACAACAAAACACUAAGACCCGUCCCCAAAGUCUACUACUCAAACGAAUCUGGAAUGAACCAAGAAUGAGAAACCCAAAUCAUGAAGAAUGAAGAGUUCUCUCAAAAGGCAACAGACAGUGGAGCCCACAAAAGAAUGAAAAAAAAA
rnacentral:lncRNA from 1 species